AUGGUUAAUAAUCUGAACAAACUAGAUAGCCCUAUUAAAUUUACAUCAGAGAUCAGUACUGAUAAAGUACAUUUUCUUGAUUUACAAAUUUGGGUUGAGAAUAACCGUAUACAGUAUUCAUUGUACACUAAACCCACGGAUCGAAAUACUAUUUUACACGCACAAAGUGCGUAUCCAGAACGACUCAAGUCUCCAUUACCUAAGGCACAAUUUUUGAGAACCAUUCGGAAUAACUCGAAUGAGGGAAUAAGAGAAGAGCAAUUAAAACAUAUGAAAAUGAAAUUUCUGAAUCGUGGAUACAAUAAUAAACAAUUGGAUGAAGCAUUACAACAGGCCAGAGAAUUUACUCCAAAGGAAGUUGUAACAAAGAAUCAUUUGAUCUGUUCAACAACAUACAACGAUAUAUCGAUUAAGCUAUCGAAUACUGUUAAAAGAAAUUGGAACAUGUUGGCUCAAGAAUCCACACUCCCUUCAAUAUUUAAAGAGGAAUUUACGUGAUAUAUUGGUGAAAACAGACCCAACACAAAGUUAUGUGCGGGAAGGGAAGACACAGCAACGUGGCAGUGUCAGAUGUUUAGGUUGCGUGACAUGUAGCCACAUGGUACCGUCACGGACCUUUAAGAACCCCCAUACCAAUAAGAAGUUCCAAAUAAAUCACACAAUCACCUGUAAAACACCAUUCGUAAUAUAUAAACUUACCUGUCCUUGCGGUUUAUCUUACAUAGGUAAAACUGAGACUCCCUUAUGUGAGCGUAUCAGAGGACAUCGAUCAAAUAUUCGUACAGCUUAUAGGGAUGGUAAUAGUGACAAACUGGUUGCAAAGCAUUUUUUUAGAUCUACAACAUCCUCUUACAUCUCUCAAAUUCACUGCAAUAGAUCAUAUCCCGGAACCACGUCGAGGGGGUGAUAGAGGAAAGAUGCUUCUUAAUAGAGAAACCUAUUGGAUUUUCCGUCUUAAUACAGUCUCACCAAAAGGCUUUAAUGAAAUGAUCUCGUAUCACUCUUUUCUCUGAUAUAACUCCUGCCUGUAUAUAUUGUUUUUAAUUUAGGUGGCAGAUUAUUGGUUAUUGAUUAUGUAGCUUAAAGUCCUAUAGUCUGUUAUGUAGGUUAUUUAAGUAAGUCUAAAUACCUUGGACUAUAGAUAUUGGAGUGACUUAUAGCGUUAUUCACGCAUGCGCGCUGGCUGACAGAGAACGCCGAUUUCCAGAUUUCACAUGUGUGGUGAGUUACAUAUCCAUAAUUAAUGUAGCUAUAUAUUGAAUGUUGUUGUAAGUGUAGUGUAUGUCAUUUGAUCCUGAGGAAGGUCCCUGCGUGGACCAAAACGUUGAUCUCGUUCAUUUUAUGGAAUAAAGAAAUUACUUCAUUACUUAGACCGUG